AUUGAACGCUGGCGGCAUGCUUUACACAUGCAAGUCGAACGGUAACAGGCCUUCGGGUGCUGACGAGUGGCGCACGGGUGAGUAAUGCAUCGGAACGUGCCCAGAGGUGGGGGAUAACGCAGCGAAAGCUGUGCUAAUACCGCAUGUGAUCUGCGGAUGAAAGCGGGGGACCAAGCAGCAAUGUUUGGCCUCGCGCCUCUGGAGCGGCCGAUGUCAGAUUAGGUAGUUGGUGGGGUAAAGGCCUACCAAGCCGACGAUCUGUAGCUGGUCUGAGAGGACGACCAGCCACACUGGGACUGAGACACGGCCCAGACUCCUACGGGAGGCAGCAGUGGGGAAUUUUGGACAAUGGGCGCAAGCCUGAUCCAGCAAUGCCGCGUGCGGGAAGAAGGCCUUCGGGUUGUAAACCGCUUUUGUACGGAACGAAAAGGCUCUGGCUAAUACCUGGGGCUGAUGACGGUACCGUAAGAAUAAGCACCGGCUAACUACGUG
rnacentral:rRNA from 1 species